AGACAUUUGACUGUGGCCAUGCUGGAGAACUGCCUUUAAUCAAGCAACUCGACCCGGAACUUAUUCUUUUGUAAGCCCAGUAUUUAUUCUAUCGGUCUUUUUUGCCGAACCGCUAAGUAACGGGGACAUAAACACACCAGCAUCGGUUGUCAAGCAAUGCUAGGGGGAUAAACACAGACACACAAACACACACACGCAUAUAUAUAUAUACAUAUAUACAACGGGCUUCUUUCAGUUUCCAUCUACCAAAUCCACUCACAAGGCUUUGGUCGGCCCGGGGCUAUAGUAGAAGACACUUGCCCAAGGUGCCAUGCAGUAGGACUGAACCCGGAACCAUGUGGUUGGUAAACAAGCUACUUACCACACAGCCACUCAAUAUAUAUAUAUAUUCAAAUGUAUGUGUAUUUUGUUUUAUAUUUAUAUUUUUAUGAUUGUACUUUAUAAUCUCUGACGAGGCCUAGAGAUAUAUAUAAGUACCUCAUUUUCAACUGCCUAUUACCUCAAUACACUUGACUAAUAUAGGCAGAAUGAGAUGCUUUUAUCUAUGGGCUGAAACCUCUGUAAGUGAUUUUAAUAAUUUAUAUUCAUGUUUUUUUAAUAAUUGCUUGUAUUCUUAUUUUUAUAUGCAUAGAAUAAUAUGCUAUAUGUAUGUAUGUUAUUAUAAUUAUCGUUUUAAUACAUAAAUAAGUUAACAUUUUAAUGUCCUAAAUUUGAUGAACCAACUAUUGUGCUUCUCCAUUUUCUUAUUUGCAAUAUGAAUUAAUGGUAAAAUAUCUUUUUACCUUCACCCAUUUAAUACACUAGGUAAGUUAAUUGCAAUGCAAUAAAAAACACUUUUGUAUUAAUAAUUGGGUAUUAUACCAACAGUAUAUUGGAUAGAUAUUAUCCCUUUGCAGGUUGGACCCACAACCCCUAACUUUCUUGGAGUAGGAGUGGCUGUGUGGUAAGUAGCUUGUUUACCAACCACAUGGUUCCGGGUUCAUUCCCACUGUGUGGCACCUUGGGCAAGUGUCUUCUACUAUAGCCUCGGGCCGACCAAAGCCUUGUGAGUGGAUUUGGUAGACGGAAACUGAAAGAAGCCCGUCGUAUAUAUGUAUAUAUAUGCGUGUGUGUGUUUGUGUGUUUGUCCCCCUAGCAUUGCUUGACAACUGAUGCUGGUGUGUUUAUGUCCCCGUUACUUAGCGGUUCGGCAAAAGAGACCGAUAGAAUAAGUACUGGGCUUACAAAAGAAUAAGUCCCGGUGUCGAGUUGCUCGAUUAAAGGUGGUGCUCCAGCAUGGCCGCAGUCAAAUGACUGAAACAAGUAAAAGAGAGUAAAAGAGUAUAUAUAUAUAUAUAUAUAUAUAGAAAGUUGAAGAGGAACACAGAAGUUGAUAUGUAUAGGGAAAUAAGUCAAGGUAGAAAAUGCUAAAAUAAUUUUAUCAUAGAAAAACAUUUCAGUACCUGUUUCAGUCAUUAAGACUUUUUCAACUCUUAGUAUGGAAAACAAUUAAAUUUUGGAAAAAUUAAAUGAAAAGUUUUUUUAAAGAAUAUUUGCAUAGUUUUCAAAUACAAGGGGCAUUUUCCUUGUUCCUGCCUGUCUCUGUCUCUCCUUUUUACUCUUGUGGGUUUGAAAUCUUUGUGAAUUUUUGGCAAAGAAGAAGAAGAAGAGGAAGAAUAAUAAAAGAAUGUGGGAGUGGUAUGAUAGUAGUAGGAUGUUAAAUGGUCAAGUGCCCUGAAAUUGACUUGUUGUGGAUUACAAUAGUGAUUGAAUUCUUGAGGUUUCUCUUUUGAAUGUAUUGUUUUUAAUAUUUGUGUGGGUGUUAUUCUAAGCAGCAGCAGUAGAAAAAUAAGGAAGGAGGUGGUGGAGGGGAAGAAGAAGACAAAGAAGGAGAAGGUGAAGAAGAGAAAGAAUAAAAAAAAUGCGGGAGUGGUAUGAUAGUAGUAGGAUGUUAAAUAUGGAUUAUAGUAGUGAUUGGAACUGUUUUUAAUUAAUUCUUGGGUAUCUCUUUUGAAUGUAUCACUUUUAAUAUUUGCAUGUGUGCUAUUCUAAGGUCAUGGUGGAUAUGUCAUUUAUUAUAGAUGCGUUCAAAAGGGGUCUGUAUUUUAUGAUAAAGAACAACUCUUUACUAAUUCGUUGGCUAUAGGUUGUAUUGUACCUGCAUAUGGGAGAAGUACCCAUAAGCUUAUGCUUUUGUGAUACAACAGUAUUACAGAAGCCUUAAAAUGUCAUCAGUAAAUAGUAUAUUAGUUAUAAAGAAUCAAAGUGCAUCAACAUUUGUCUAUGUUCCAAGUCGACUGUUGAAAAUUCUUUUCUGCUGAUGGUUGAUGAUGGGGAAAAAUUCUGAAGCUUGGAUUUUUGUCAUUGGUGCAAAUGUCGAUGUGUUGGUUGAAUGCUAUUUUUCUGUUUUUCAGAAUUUUGAUCUGGGAUCUGUGCAGAGCCCCCAUCCCUUGACAUAGACUGCUUUUUGUUUGGCCUAUGUAUUGCUAUUGAUACCCAAAGCAGGUUAGUGCGUAUAUCAGGUUCUCCAGAGCACAUGGGAAAUUGCUUUUCAAUGUGAAACGUUGUCCCUGUUUGAAGGAGAACUCUGAUCCCUCAAUUAAAUUGAUACAUAUCUCACAGUUGGGUCUUCUACAUUUUUAACUGAUGGCUUCAGUGUUGUUGUUGAGUGUAUUCAGGCUUGUGUUAGGAGAUUUUUCAUAGAUUUGGGGCUAUCUCUUACUUUUUAUGAUGGUGUGUGUUUGGAGGAUUAAGUUCAUUCUGUGGUCAUUUUUAUAGCCGGGGAAUGUUUUGAAGGAUGGUGUUGAAAGCUUCAUUGUUAAGAGGGUUGUGUGUCAGUGAGCCCUUCUCUUUAUAGGUUUAACAUGGAUUUUAGGUCUCUCAUUAUUUUCUGCUGACUGUAGAGUUGGGCCUUUUUAUAAUAUGCUGUGUCUUCUAAUAUGGAUAGUACCAGAAUGUCAAGAGCACAGGCCAAACAAAAAACAGUCUACGUCAAAAGAUGGCUCUGCACAGAUCCCAGAUCAAAAUUCUGAAAAACAGAAAAAUAGCAUUCAGCCAACACAUCGACAUUUGUGUCAAUUACAAAAAUCCAAGCUUCAGAAUUUUUCCCCUCUAUCAAUGCAGGUAUGAUGCAACCUGUAGCCAAUUAUUUUAGCAUUUUCUACCUUGACUUAUUUCCCUUAUAUAUAUAUAUAUAUACACACACACACAUACAUAUGACAGGCUCUUUUCAGUUUCUAUCUGCCAAAUCCACUCAGAACGCUUUGUUUGGCUCAGAAAUAUAGUAGAAAACACUUGCCUAAGGUAUCAUGCAAUGGAACUGAAUUCCAAACUAUGUGAUUAGGAAGUGAACAUUUUACCAAACAGCCACUUCUGUGCCAGUAUGCCUAUAUUAUUUUAUCAUGGUAUUGUGUAUUAGAGAAGUAGAAACAAAAAUAGGUCUUAUAUACAUCAACAAAUCAUUUAUGAAGAGUAUCUAAUAGAAUAUUUUGAGUAACUGAUAAAAUGCCUGAUAAUAUUUAGUUAUAUCUCUUUGCAUUUUGAGUUCAACUUUGUCUUUCAUCCUUCCAGUGUUAAUAACGCAAAAUACCGUUAAGUAUUGAUUUCCAUUUAAUUGAUUAUAUCCUUCUUUCCACAAAGUAUAGGGCUUUGUGGAUAAGUUAAAAAAACCAAUAUUUGGUGUAUAUAUUGUGACUUCCAAUUCUAGAAGGUCUGAUUUUUGUGGUCCAUUACCAUCAUCAUCAUCAUCGUUUAACGUCCGCUUUCCAUGCUAGCAUGGGUUGGACGAUUUUGACUGAGGGCUGGCAAACCAGAUGGUUGCACCAGGUUCGAAUCUUAAUUUGGAUGCCCUUCCUAACGUCAACCACUCUAAGAGUGUAGUGGGUGCUUUUUACAUGCCACCGGCAUGGGGGCCAGUCAGGCGGUACUAGCAACGACCUCGCUCAAAUCUUUUUACACAUGCCACCAGCACAGGUGCCAGUAAGGCGACUUUGGUAACGAUCACACUCGAAUGGUGCCCUUUUACAUGCCACUGGCAUGGAAGCCAGUUGGCUGCUCUGGCAACGAUCAUGCUCGGAUGGUGCUCUUGGCACCCUACUAGCACAGGCACAAGUGCCAGUAAGGCAAUGCGGGUAACAAUCAUACUCGAAUGAUGCCCUUUAAGUACCACUGGCACAGAAGCCAGUUAACCGCUCUCUCAAUGAUCAUGCUCGUAUGGUACUCUUUGCACCCUGCCAGCAUGGAUGCCAGUCAUCAAAUUUGAUUUUGAUUUUGCUUUUGAUUGAUUUCACUUGCCUCAACAGGUCUUUGCAAGCAGAAUUUUAGUGUCCAAAGAAGGAAAAGGUUAUGCAUAAGUGGGCUGGUUACACCCCUGGCAUAGGCCAUGAGAUUAUGGUUUCAUUCGGCUUGCCGGGUCUUCUCACGCAUGGCAUAUUUCCAAAGGUCUCGGUCACUAGUCAUUUCCUUGGUGAGGCCUAAAGUUCGAAGGUCGUGCUUCAACACUUCAUCCCAGGUCUUCCUGGGUCUACCUCUUCCACAGGUUCCCUCAACCAUAAGGGUGUGGCAUUUUUUCACACAGCUGUCCUCGUCCAUUCUUGCCACAUGACCAUACCAGUGCAGUCGUCUCUCUUGCACAUCACAUCUGAUGCUUCUUAGGUCCAACUUUUCUCUCAAGGUACUUACACUCUGUUGAGUAUGCACACUGACAUUACACAUCCAUCGGAUUAUACUGGCUUCAUUCCUUGUGAGCUUACACAGUCACAGCCCAUGUUUCACUGCCAUGUAGCAUGGCUGUAAAAUUAUCAAUAUUAUACAAAUACAAAUUCAUUCAACUAUACACCUCUCAUACAAAUUUUUGUGAGAAAUCAAUAUCGGAUAGAGGUAUUGUACUCGUGAAUUCAGCUCGGAAUGAUUAAAGGUACAUUUAAAAAAUUUUUUUUUAAAUAUUUUUGAUGAUUUGAUCUAGAGACAGGGUCUGUUUCAUAAUCUCCAUAGGCCAUCCAAGACCAGUGAGAUCAAUGCAGUUGAUGUUCUUGAACAGCCACAAGUUGAUGAAUGCAAGAAACAUAUGGGCUACAAAGGAAUUCCUGAGGGAAGAUGAAUUGGGAAAGUAGUUUGUACAGAGCCUAGAGAUAGGUACAAUAUGACUGAGGAGAGAAGAGUGAGUUGGAUGGGUUUGUGUGGAAAUGGCAUAAUAUUAGCCAGUUUCAAGAAGCAGAGAUCAUUGUAGCAAUGAUAGAAAUGGCAGAGUGAGGAGGUACAGCACUUCCAUGGUCCAUAUGUUCCCACCAUGAAGACAUGAGCAUAAAUACAAACUAAGUAAGUAAACCAGGCUAUAAAGCACAAUGGGGAAUGAUCUUUACAAAUCUUGAUACAUAUUUUGUUUCCAGAUUUAUUCUUUGUAGCAUAAUGUUUUAAAGUAUACAAAUGUCUUCCUACUGUAAAACUCUAUCAUUUUAGUUUUAUCAUUGUGGAUUUUACUUAUUACAAAAAUUACAUUUUCUCUCUUCUUUGUGUCCUGUUUAUAGGUAUCAUGGACUAUAUACCACUUAGCAUAUUACUGGGUUUGUCUUUCUGUAGCCAGCUGAUAAGGCCAUCUUUUCUCUCUGUCUUACCUGGCAAGUUCUUCCUUUGAAUUUCUCUGUUGACAUUACUGAUGGUCCAGUGAUCUUAGUUUAUUGCCUCCUUAUAUUAUUAAGAAGUUUUCUGAUAGUUUCUUUCUCUUCUUAUUGCAUUAAAACAUAUAUUCUGCAAGAAUUCUUGAUUUAUCUAGCAAACACAAACAAAAAUAUGUCUCUUACUUUCAUGAAGGAUUCAGUUGCAGGAAUUAAGUCAUAUCAGCUUUCUUUGAUGUGAUGUUGUAUUGCUGAAAACUAGAUCUUUGAAUUCUCUUGUGUCACACUCAUGUCAAUUUGACAAAUGGUCUUCAUUUGGAUGUGGUCUAAGAUGCUUCUGUGUGCAGCAGUAGCACUGAUAUGUGAGCAUCCUUUCAAUGUGAGUAUUAUCUGCUAAUUUGUUUUUCAUUCAUUCUUAUGUACUGUAUCAUACAUUUACUCAGUGUGCUCCAGCAAAUAUGAUGAAGUAUGUGCUUUGCUGAGGAGGUCUCAGGAAACCAAAACAUGCCCUGAGUUAUAUCCCAUACUUGCUGAAAAGAUUAAAAUAAUAUUAGUAUUUGAGCUAAUUUUUUCUUUUCUUUAUCACAUAUUCAUUCUUUAUUAGUAUAGAUUUUGAAUGUUCACAAAUAUACUAACACUAAUGUAACUAUUGUUUUUUAUGAAUAAGUAUUUCCAGUAAUUUAUUUACAAAAGGGACACAGUUAAGUCUUGCCUGCUCAACUUUUGAUGGAGUGUGCAGGGGAAUCAUCAUGAUCUACAACAUUGUAUGUCUUUGGCAUCUAAAUCUGGUGGAACUAUUCCCUUCAAGUCUGACCACAGCCAAUUUAUUCCUGAGAGGAAUGUGGAAUAAUCAACUCCAUUACUGGAGUGGUAUUUUAUUUAUCAAGGAUAAAAAACAAAGUUGAUCUUACAGGGAUUUGAAAACAGCCAUGAGUCUAACUAUAUCAGAGUUGUCCAAUCCUAGUCCUGCUGCCACACAUACAACCUCCCAGCAACAAACCUCUCCAGCCAGGGUUAGGCCAGCCUUCAGCAGCUUCACUUAGCCAUCUAAAUUGAAUCUAAAGCCCUGUUCAAAGAUGUGAGACACCAUCCUCACUGGGGACAUACCCAAAGACCAUCACAGUUUGGGUAAACUUAGUUUCAUGAUAUUUGAGACAUCACAUGGAUUGUAGGAAAGCCACCUGUUUUUCUGGAUGUUGUGCAACUGGUCUGGUAGAAAUACUUUUCAUCUGAGAAGAACCAGAUCCUCUCCAGCUCAGCUGGAUGCCUCAGCUUGUUCAGGAGCUUCUUUACCUUUGUUAAGUAGAUUUUUUUUCUGGCCUUAGCUGUCAGAAUUUGUCCCUUACGCCUCUUGUAUGAGUGGUAGCAAAAGUCUUUAUUCAAGUUCAGCUUCAUGAUGGUGUCUCAACACCCCCCUCUUUCACCAAAGCCUGAAUUCUCAUGCUUAGAUUUUCCAUAAGUCUGUCCUGCUGCUGUUGAUGAACACCAGCAUGCAGACACAGUCAGAGAGCCUGCCAUAUCACAUCUUGCAGCCUUUACAGCAUUCUCAGAACAAUGAUGUCAGCAUUUUGAUAUCUGUGCAACUCAUCAUGACACAGGGAACUCUUUUCUACUAUUCAAAUGGCUUCCAGUAUGCCAUGUCAGCUAACUUUUUCUUAACUACAACUUUAAUCUUUAUGCUCUUCAAUGCUAUUGACUGUUCACCAAUACUUGAAAAUGUUUCUGAAAAAAGAAGGCAUAAAAAAUUGCCAAAUUUAGCUCAAACACCUUGUAUACCCUGGUAGCAACAAAGCUGAAAAAAUUAUGUAAAAAGAAAUCAUCAAAACAAAAUAUAAAAAGCAUUAAAAAUUGUUUAUUUUGCUAAUUACUAGAAAAAUACUUACAAAGCCAUAUAACAAAAAAAUAAGACGUGCAAAAAACAAAUGAUGGUGAUAAUCUAUGAUUUCUACCUUAGAGUCAAGGUAACAGAUUUGGUGGGAGAGGGAUGUAGUAAAUUUAUUGGCUCCUAUUGCCCCACUGCUUAGAUGAAGAAAGGUUGAACCCUGCAGGAUUUGAAUUCAGGACAUAACUAAAUAUUGUAAGGUAUGGUCUGUCAUUAUAUCAGUUCUACUGUCCACCAUACUGAUCAUAGAUUGUUUGAUUUUGAAUACAGGAACAGUGGUCACGCAUUAGUUGGAAUGGACAACUGACCAAAUCAACCUCAGUAAUUCGAUGGUAUUUAUUUUAUUGAUUCCCCCAAAUAGAUAAAGUAUAAAAUCAACUUUAGUUGAAUUUGAAAUCAAACUGUAAAAGGACUUAAUUCAACACCACAAAGUCUGUCAUCCACCAGUGGGGAACUUCCUGGAUCUUGUCAUGUAAACAUCGUCAGAUUCAGUCUCCUACCAAUAAUUAUACAAUGUUAUCUAUGUAACAAAAACAAAGGGAGUUCAACAUGAGUAUGUAUCUUGUAAAUGUAUCUUAGUUGAAUUCCUGCACAUCAUCCGCAUCAAUCUGUUAAAUAUGCAAAGAAGAGUAAAUUGAAGAAAAGAAAGCAUAGGAACCUCUUCUGAUUUUAUCCUUUGCUACACAAAAGUUGUUUACUCCCACAAGAAUCAUAAAUGAACAUCAACAACAUUAAGCUCACUACUAUGUAACCUUUCUAAUUAUAUAUAGAAUUCUUAGGACAGGUUGCAUUGUAGUAUCAGUGGUGUGGAGAGGGAGACUUACACCACGGGGCAACUUCUUGUCUUCAACAGAAAAUAAUUAUAUUUGCUGAGACCUGAGCUUUGGAGAGUAACUUUCCUGAUGCAGAUACACAGAACAUUUGUAAGUGAUGAGAAAAGCCAUUAGUAUACACUUUGUGUUCAAGUUGGCUUUGUUUUCACAUGAGAAUUAGGGUAUCCAACAUAAUUUUUAGCUCCAAGUAGCUCUGACUCAAGAACUGUUCAUCUUUAUUUUCAAACUGCAUAUCUUGGACAUCAUGGAGUAGUGCACACUGGAUGUCUUUUCUUGUUUUGGUAAUGUUAUUUGAAGGAAAUUUGGUUGCUAUUUCUGGCUAGUUGAGCGACUAUGUUGAGGCUACCUUGGGGUUUACCCAUCCUAAUGUUUAUCUUGCUGAUGUUUGAGUUUAUUAUUAUUGUUCACUUACAGGAUGUGUAGAGUCAUUAGAAUGUCAGACAAAAAGUUUUACAGCAUUUGUUUUGGCUUUUUUACAUUCAGAGUUCAAAUCCUGCCAAUAUCAACUUUGCCUUUUGUCCUUCUGGGGCUGGUAAAAUAGAAUACCAAUCAAGUACGAGGCCAAUAGUAUUGUCUAAAAACCCUCCUCUCAAAAUCGCUUUGUGCCUAAAGUGAAAACUAUUUUUAUUAGCUACUUUCAGGACAGUGUAUUAGUAACAUUGUUAGAACAUGGGACAAAGUGGAACAAAGGUCUUUACAGUAUUUGUUCUGAUGUUUUGCCUCGUGAGUUCAUAUUGUCAUCUUUGCCUUUUAUCUCUCUAGGAUUGAUGAAAUGAAGUACAGGUACUGAUGAUAAUUUAAUUAACUGACACCUCCAAAUUUCAGGAUUUGUGACUAUGUUAGAAACAGUUAUUGAUUACUUGUCCUUGGUAGUCAUGAUAAUUGGAGCCCUUAUCAGUUUCCUUGAGUGGUCUUAGAUAGUUGUCUGCCAUCUGAAUAUCUCAUUUUACACAUUCUGUGUACCCUUUUGUUCUCCAUGGCUGUUUUCUAUUUUUUAUAAUUAGUUGUAUGUAAACCACACCAACAAUAUUUUUUUGUAAUUUAUCCUUGUAAUACUUCUUCAACCAUUGCCCUUGUGGUAACUAAAAGAAAUCAUCUAUGUGUUAAUAUGUUAAGACUGAAAUGUGUUAUAUGUGCAUAUGUGAUCAGUUGAAGGGAAAGGCAAAGAGUGAGAGCGGAAAGAAGUGUUAAUGACAUGUGAUAGGGGAAACAGUAAUAGUUAUAUUGUGAUUAAAAAGUUAGCUGAAGUGAGUGACAGAAAGAGAGUUAGAAAAUAGAAUGUUUAUAAAAGGGGAGAUGUUCUGGUGGUGAGGUUAAUGAAAGGCAAAUAGAAAGAGGGUAGGGAGAGAGUAGUGACAUUAUUGCCACCCAAAUGAAAAGUGAAGAGAAAGAGAGAAAUGAUAACGAUGUAAAAAAAGGAAAUGACAUGGUUAAAAAGUUUGUUGAAGUAAAAGGUAGAUAGAAAAAAAGAAAUAUAAAGUUUUAAGCAGAGAGAAAUUUUAAGCAUUAUAUAUUAUUGUGACUAACAAAAAAAUGAUAUUUUGAUAUUAAUUUUUUAUAUCCUCUAUCUGUUAAUCUAUUUAUCUACUUAUCCAUUUUGAUAAAUUCAUCAAUGAAUGGUUGGAUAGAAGACAGAAGGCUUACGUUAGAUAUGAUAACAAACAUAUCAUAGAUAGAAAGAUAUAUUUUUCAAUGAAAGUGAAAGAACAUGGAUGUUAUUAUUUUUUUUUUUUAAUUUGUUAUUCCAACUUUGUAAUGACAGCCAAAAAAGUAGCAGUGGAAAAGGGUGACUUGGAAACUAAGGCAUGCACUCUGUAAUGCAGGCCAAUUGCCAAGGUAGAGAGUAGGGCAGGGAGUCUUAUUCUCCUCACCUCAGAAAAGUAUCCCCACACCCAUCUGUGAAUGUGAUAUGAGCUAAUUUUAAUGUAAGAAAAUGCACUUCUACCAACAGGCCACACUUUGGGCUUGAUACUCCUCUUCACUGGACUUGAUGGUCCCCCAUUACCUUGUCAUGAUGACUGUUAUUGGUUACAGAAGAAAUCUGAGAAAAUAAUAGAACCUAUAAAUACUGAGCCAUUUAAAAUUUAUUUGUAAAUCAGUUCAGUUCUUUGGUUCAUUUUGAGCAAAUUCAUCCAUCACUUUGCUAAAAAAUGUAUCAGCACCAUGCUCUGCCUUCAUCUUAUUCAAAAGGUCUUUAUUCAUGGAAAUGAAGACCAAAUUGCACAUUCUCUCUUUACUUUGAGAACAUCUCAUAUAAUUAUUUACUUGCUUUAAUGAAAAAUGCACUUUCUCACAGGAAACAAAUGUGGCAGGUAUGGUCAAAAUUAGAUCUAGUAAUUCUGUUAAAUCAGCCAGUAUGGUAUGGUUCAAGCUCCCAUAUUAUGUUUGUGACUUCUUGGAUGCUUGAUGUUUGCCUUGCAAACAUCUGUAGCAUAAACUGAUUUCAGCUCACAUUUCAAUUCAUCUAAAUCCAAUAUGUUUUUAUAGACAUCCAAAAAUGAAAACAUUUCCACCAAAAAUUCUUGUUUCAUCAUAUCCUCCAAUUUAACCUUUUCAAUAUAUUAUGGAACUGAAUAAAAGCUGCUUUCCAGUGUCAAUUGUUGUAUCAAUUUGUUUUUGGCCAAUGGUGUUCAGAGAAAUUACAGAAUUCAGAUGGUUCUGAGAUUUUUGUGCUUUGGUAAAGCUGUAAUCAAAUUGUGCAAAUUGCAGUAGCCAGUAGUUCGCCAUGUGUUCUAAUGCUGACAAAAUAACAGCCAUGAGAAACAACAAUUUGUGGCUGUAUGGUAAGAACUGUAUGGUAACCAGUUUUAGUUCCACUGCAUGGCACCUUGGGCAAGUGUCUUGUACUAUAGCUUCAGGUUGACCAAAGCCUUGUGAGUGGAUCUGGUUGAUGGAAACUGAAAGAAGUUCUACAUAUAUACAUACAUACAUACAUAUACAUAUAUAUAUAUGUGUGUGUGUGUGUAUAUAUAUAUAUAUAUACAUAUAUAUAUAUAUAUAUAUAUAUAUUUCUUUAUUGGGGCAAAUUUGGCUUGCAGCUGUUCUGUUUCCAGUAGUUAUUAUAGGUACAUCACUGAUAGGUUUACUCAAUUGGCCUGUAGAAAGACCAUGUUGAAUGAGAGGUGACUAUGGAUGGCUCCUUUAAUACACUGCAUCGUCACUUACAAUAAUUGCGAAAAAGAAUGAGUACAAGUGCCAGUAGGAAAAGAAAGACACAACCGGUAGAAUGUUAAGAGCUUUUAUUUAUGUGUUAAUAUGAGUGUCUGUGUGUGUCAUAUAAGCAUAAUAAUAAUAACAAUAGACAGGCCGUCAUGUAUACAUAAUGUGUAUGUGUAUGCAUAAAAAUACAGAGCAUUGAAAGAGUCUAUAACAGGACGAUAGAGGAAUGUUCAGACACAAGGAAGAUAAAUACCAGUUCAUAGUAAGGUACACAAUAGAUGAAGUGCUGUAACAAGAAGUUGUGGUGAAGAAGCAGAGCCGUUUGAGGCACAUGUCAUGUAAGAAGUUGUGGCUACUAUGCUGCUGCUGGUCACUUGAUACAGGAAGUUCUCGCAGGUUGUAUUGGCUGUUAACCAUGGUGAAGUAAUUCCCAAACAGUGUUGAGAUGGCACUUCGGUGUACGUAGAGAAAUGUUGUUGACAUUAAGACGAAGGUGACAGAGAUGGAGGUCCUGAUGCUGCUGAACGAAGCAUUGAUGUUUCUCUAUGUGGCUGCUGGUGUUGUCACUGGAACUGGCUCUGUGCUCAGUCAUUAGACCUUAGACGGUCUAGAACCAAAAGACGUUGACUUGAUGAAUUGCUGAAGUUUUAUAGCAAGCUAUUGGCGCAAAUGGAAAUUUAGAAGAGACUGUCUCAUGCGACCUUAUCAGAAGGCUGCGAUUGGUUGGGUUGCACACUGGAGCAUAAUACAGCAAGAGACAAAUUGUGCAAAUGCCAACCAAUCAGAGUAGUGGACACAACAGGGUCCAAGCGACCGAAGGCUAGCUGUUAUCUACUAUGUCCGUACUUAUGUAUAUAUAACAGAGAGAGAGAUAGAGAGAGAGAGAGAGAGAGAGAGAGAGAGAGAGAGAGAGAGAGAGAGAAAGAGAGAGAAUUUCACCAAGCAUCCGCUACAGGCCUAUUGAUCAAUUGAGGAAAAUUGAACAACCUAAGAAAAUUAAUGCUACUUUCAUCAGAGCCAUUUCUAGUUAUAACAAGGAAUGGCUACUGUCUGUGGAAGGUGGGAGGAAAAGAUGGGAAUGUUCAAGUAGAAUAGAGAACAGAGGAAGGCAAGUUACAACGGGGUGGAAGUAGGUAAGAGAGUGGUACAGGAGUCACUUACUAGAAGUAGGGGCAUUAUAUUACCAAAUUUGGAAGAGGGACACUCUAAAACAAAUAAAAGAUAAAGAAUAAAAUAUAUACUCUUAAGUAAUAAAACAUACAUACAAGUUGACUAAGCAUCCAUUUCUUGUCUAAAUCUGUCCAACUCUGAGGAGAGCCUAAGUCCUUUGAAUAGGUAAUUUUUUGCUCUUUGCCUCACAGGAUAAUAAAAACUUCAGCACUUCAAAAGAAAAGGCUGAAGUCUGGUUUUAAGCACCCCAUACAACAUAACAUUUUUAUUUUUUGGAACUUUCAGAACAUUUUUGUGAAUUUGUGUUCUACAUAGGAGAAUUCAUACGAUUAUGAAUGAAGAAAAAAUUUUUUUUGGAAUUUUUUAAACCCCUCCUCCCACCCAUAAAUCCUAAAUGUUCCACUCUUAUUUAAAUUUUUUAAAAAUCAGAAUUUAAAAUAUGGACAGUCCAGAUUUUUUGCUUAAAUCCCAGCAGUGGAUGAUCCAUGACUGUAUCAUCAUUCUAUGUGUUAUGGGGAGAAAAAUAUUGAAAAAGAUAAAUACAUGUCAGAGUGGCAAAGAAACAAGGAUGGUAUUGAGUAUUCAUAUAGGAUGUUAAGAACAAUAGAUAAAUUUCCCUUAAAUCACACACACAAAAGAUCAUUUUUUGUUGCAUAAUUGUAUAAAUUCCCAUGUGUAGAACACAAAUUUAUGAAAAUUAUCAGAAAAUUCCAAAAAUAAAAAAGUUACAAGAAGUUAUAUGGGGUGCUUAAACCAGAAUAUGUUGAAGAUUUUGCAGGGUUUGUCCAAGCUGAAGCUUGUCAAUUGGAUCCUUAAGGAUGCUCAGACUCAUUUCAUCCGUAUUCUCUUGAAACUGCUGAAGAACAUCUACCUAUCCAGCAAUACCUUGGAUUGGUAGAAACUUCCUGUUCCCUUUGGUUUCCCUUUACAUAAUAAAUGGGAACAGUGGAUCCCUCACUUCUUCCCUGACAUGGCAGUCUGAAUUUACCCCAACCACUGUUCAUCUCAUGUCAGUCAUCAGCUCAACCCCAAACAAUGGUCAACCACCUAACUUAAAGGUUAUUAAUGUCAAAUUCAACGAAUUUGAUAUUAAAGGGGCUGUUUGCCUUCUUUCCUCUCUGUCCUCCCUUGUCCUGUGUACCACAGACUCUCUCAACCAACUGAAGGAAAAAUAUCCUCCAGUCCAUCCAGAUGAUCACCUACACUGGCCUGACUCACCAAGUUUUCAACAACUCAUCUUCACCCCUGACACUAUCAGGAGAGCAAUUGCCUCUUCCAGCAGGUUCUGGCACUGGGAUCAAUGGCUUACAACCUCAGCAUCUCAAGGAUGGUAUCUCCCUGUCAGCUGGUAAUACUUGGCUCCAACUCUUGGAGAACCUAACACAGUUCAUAAACUUGUUCUUGUCUAAGAGCCCUUGCCUACAUUCAUCCCCUGUUCUUUGGGACCAAAUUAUUUGAUCUCACCAAGCCUAAUGGUGACCUCCACCCCAUUGUAGUUAGUUGUACUCUGUGACGGCUCACAGCAAAAGUCUGCCUGUCCUCAGUUUCUAACCACCUGACUGAGGAAUUUUCCCCUAUUCAGCUAGAAGAGGGUACUAAGCUAGGUUGUGAGGCUGCUGCUCAUGCCACCAGGGCUUUCACCAAUUUGCCCUUUGAGUCCCCAAAGGUCAUCCUCAAACUUGACCUUAAGAUGUCAUCCUCAGUGCAUUACUUUGGCAAGCCUAUAGAGAGCCCUCCUACCUCUCAUUUGGUGACCACCUCAUCUUAUCUGCCUCUGGAGUCCAACAGGGUGAUCCACUUGGUCCUGCCCUAUUCUCAUUGGGUAUUGAUGAUGUUAUCAAGAUGAGAGCUGACCUAGACCUAAAUGUCUGGUACCUCGAUGAUGCUUGUUUGAGAGACCCUCUUGACAAGGUGCUUGCAGCUGCAAGGAUGAUGAUCGAGGAACUUGGUUGUAGAGCUCUUUGUGUUAACAGCUCCAAAUGCAAGCUCUGGCUCCUCAACCACCCAGCUUUGGAUGAGCAGACUACUAAACUAUUUUUUAACUCCCUCUCCUCAAUCAUGAUUCCUCCAUCAUUAGCGUAGUGCUCCCUUGGAGCCCCAGUUACUGACCUAGCUUUCGAGUCCAUCUUCACAUCCAAAAUGGCUAACCUCAAACAACUUUUAAAAAAUCUUGAAGUAAUUGAGCCCCAUCAAGGUUUUUUUAUACUUGGGAAUUACUUGACAAUUCCUAAGCUAUUGCAUUUUCUGAGUUAGUCCCUCUUACAGAUUCCUGUCAUCCCUCCAAUACUUUGACAAUACUUCAGGAAACUAAAAUGCUUGGUCAAUGUCAAACACUCCCCAGGCUCCCCCGACCAAAUUGCUUUACCCAAAUGGUUUGUGGGAGGUCUAGGUCUGUGCAAGCACUCAUCUUUAUCUCUUCCCUGUUUUCUUUCCACCAUCCACGCUUGCUCCCCUUUAGUAAGUAACAUCUUCUCCUCUCCAACAUGGACUAAUCCCAAAAGGGAGAUGAAUGAAGCUUUAUCAAAGAAGAGAGCUGGGAUUGUCAGUUCCAGUUACAGUGGAGGAUAGAUGGAAACAGGGAGUAUGGGAUAAUCUGCAUUCAGGUAUCACCUUCAACCCUCUUCUUGAUCAAUCCAAUCAAUUUUCAAGGUGUCGCUUACUUUCAACUAAUGCAAAAUUCUCAGGGGACUGGAUUGAAGCCCUGCCUGUGGCUAACAUCAGAGGUCUACUCAGUCUAGAUGAACUCCAUUGCACUUAGAGUGAAUGCUGACAUCUGUAGAGGAUUGCGAUGCUGCUGUGGCAGGCCCCUCGAUCCCACAGGUCUUCUUGCUGCCUAAAUGCUGGUUGCUUCACUCAUCAAAUUGAGUGCCUUGGCUCAGAUUAAUAUCCCCUCAGUUCUGGGGCCGUUGGGGUUAUCCAGAAGUGAUGGAAAGAGACCAGAUGGUCUUACCUUUUGUCUCUGGGUUGAAAGUAAGUGACACCUUGAAAAUUGAUCAGAUUGAUCAAGAAGAGGGUUGAAGGUAGGUGCCUCAUUUGGGAUGCCACAGCCUGUGACUCCUUUGCUUCCUCCCACAUCUUGGAUGCUGCAGUUAAUGGGAGGGUCACUGCUUCUGUAGUUCAGUGGAACAAAACCCUGAAGUAUUGGGAUCUGACAGUGAAGUAUCUCUUCCAACCUGUGGCAUUUGAGACAUUUGGAGGGACUGUGCCACUAACUGUGAAGUUCUUGUCAACGUUGACAGCUCACCUCACCAAGGUGUCAGGUGAUGCCUGUGAGGGCACUUGGCUUUCCCAAUGCCUUAACCCCGCCAUCGCCUGUGGUAAUACAGCAAGCGCGCUGGCUUGCUUCAGUAGGUUCCUUGUGGUGUGUGACCAGUUGCUGUGUUAAAAAAAAAUCCCCACAAAUGAUUUCAAUACAGUUUUAACUGAAAGAUUUGGAAGAAUUAGAUGAAAGUUCUCUGGUAAUUUUCUUUCGUGUAAAUAAAUGUUUGCUCAUGGUGUUGCCAUCAUGGUAGUUGUUGCUGUUAUUGCUGCUGUUGUUGUUAAUUGUGUUACUGAUAUUGAUAUGACCAUCCAUGAAAUUUCUUUUGUGUGUGUCUGGGUCUGCUUCAUAUGUUGUAUGUAUCCAUGCCCUUUAUAUAGUUUCAUUUAUUUAUUUGCUUAUCUCUGUCUUAUAUUUAUCACAGGUAUGUGACAAAUAUAUUUAUAUAUUUAUUUUUUCAUACAUCUACUUUUAUUUCUCAUAAGUAUAACAGGCAAGUGCAUAUAUAUCUAUUUACCCUGUAUGUUUCUGUGUAUUUUUUACAAUUUUGUGUUUUCCUCUCACUUCUCAUCCCUUCUGUCUAGUUAUGUGGUGUGGUAGUGGAUGUUACUGUUCUAUUUGCAUUUUCUGUUGAGGUUUGGUCUUUCUACUACUAUGUGUGUAGUCUCUUUGAUCUGUCUAAAUGUCAUGUCAGUUCUAUGUGUCGAUAGUACUUUAACCUCUAUGCUAUUAAUCAAGCCUCCAUGUUCUGCUUGAGCAUGUUGGUAGAGCACUGAUGAGCUUUUCUCUUUGAACUCCCACCAAUGUAGGCAGUUGUCAUGUUUCUGCACCAUCCUAAGUACAUCAUAAGCUAUACACUACAUUCCUAACCUCACAGUUAGCCUGUGGGUUCAUCCUACAUACAACACAAUUGUACGGGGGAACUUAUCAAAGGAAUAGGUAUUGCAGAUCAGGGAUUUUAAAGGGGCACCAGGCCUUUCUAUUACUUUAAUUCGUAGAUUAGCCUUACUUAAUGUUUUUUCUAAAAAGACGUGCGAGUUUGCUGCCAUGACACUCUGGUAUUUUUUGUUGUCAUACCAAGUGUUGUCCUUAUUUAUCUUAUUACUGGUCUUUUCUGUGCUGUUCCAGGAUUUACUCCUGUACAGCAGGCAGAUCCCUUUAGCAUCACUCUCUGUGAUGUCUUUGUACUCAGUCCUGGCUCCUUUGUAUGCUCUCAUCCUGUCUCUUUGGUUGUAGCGGUGGAUGAAGUGUUGUAAGUGUCUUUCCAAUUCCAUAGGGUCGCACAUGUGAGACACAUUCCUCAUCACUCUCACCAAGUCAGCUAUAAGAAUGUUGAACUUGGCGUUGUAUGCAAUCAUUGCAUUCUGGUGAACAAAGUACUUAGAGCCCAUGGGUUUGGCAUAAUGAGAGUGAAGGAUCGGGACCUUACCGUUCUUUGUUUCUAGUCAGAGUUCAGUGUGUAAAACAGGUAAUCUAUAGUUAGGGUGCUUACUAGGGUAGUCUAUCGUUACUUCUCUGGUGGAUGGAGUUAGCUAUUUGCUGGAUGCUCUCCAUAGCGUUAGCUUCUAGAUCAUCAACAUUGUCUUGUAAGGGUGCUUUGACUGCUAUGUUGAUAGUAUUCAUGUAACGGGAGUACAUGGUUAGGUUUAUGGAGUUCUCUGCUAAUUUCUCUUUAUGUCUCCUAUCCCACCAUACCAUAAAUAGGUUAGCCACAUCCCCAGCAAUAACUGACACCAAUAGCUGCACCUUCCUUUUGGGUGUAUAUCUUGCUAUUAAAUUUAAAUAUAUGGCCCUUGAGUGUGGUCUUGGUACUUACACCCAUCACCUGUGCAACCAUCUUUUUAACCUGAUCAUUAUUUUCAGAGGUCCAUAAAGCUCUGGUCCACCCAUUCUAUUUCUCUUUAGGGGUCUUCUUGGUCAUAGAAGUUAUAGUGGGAGGGGGGGAUCUACUUUUAUUGAUCUAGUGAGGUAGAAACAACUAAGGCCAUUUUUUAUCUAAGUAAUCAUUCUUGCAUGUCAGUCUCAGGAGGAGGCCUAGUUCUUCAGUGUCAACACCAUGGCACUCCACAUCUCUCUCACUAAUCACCACCACACUUUUCUCCACAGCAAAAUCAACAUCAUUGGAUGGGUGUAGGGACACUUUGUCCAUACUCCCUAUUAUGCAUCCCGUCAGGUCAUGAGCAUGGCUGAACUCAUUGAUUGCACACACACACACACACACAUCCCAUAGACUAUGACUUCAGAAAAAAUAUUUUUAGCUUAAAAUACGCACAGUAUAAAUGUUAGUACCAACUAGCAAAUAUUUAUUUAAUAACGAACCAUGUAGUCCACACUCUUGUAUGUGUGUAGACAUCACGGAAGUGAUGUGUAUUUUUUCGUCAAGAAAUAACAAAGAAAAAUAGUGUUUAAUCAUUUUCCUUAAUAAAUAAAGUCCCAAAUAUCAUAAAAAUUUGUACUGCACUUCUGAAGUAUGAAAAUAAAUAUACAAAAAAAAAUUAAGAUAAAAUAUACUAUUUUGGACAUAUUUCAGGUACACACAAACAUCUCUAGAGUUUUAGUUUUAUCAAGAUAAACGUUUUCAAGCUAUUACAAGUAAUAAAUUACUGAACAAGAGAAGUAGCCUCCCUUCAACCAGUUUCAUUUCUUGCUUGGGGAAUUACAACCGUGUUUGUGGUCUGCUACCACAACAGCUUUUUUAUAGGAUCCAGUUAGCUCAAGCCAUCAUCAGGAGGAACAACGUCUGGUUUCGGCCCCUACUCCUCUACCGUUUUGAUGUGGCGUUUUGUAAAUAUUUGACAAUGUUUUUUGAGUUGGGGUAUGGGACUUCUGAAUGAGGCAUAAGUAACAAGGGAAUAAAAUUUGCAAUAAAGUAAAGAUUUAAUUAAUCUUACAUUGACUGAAUACAAACUAUAUACUGACAUUGUUCAUGGUGGAGCGAGGGGAUCUUUUCUGUUGUUGUCACAGUUUUCUUCUUUUAUUUAAUUUUGUUAGUUAGGGUUAGGGGUGGGGGAAGGGUAUCUUUUUUUUCUUCACAAAUGUAAAUAAACCCAAUCUGUUUCUUAAACGAGGGACAUAUUCAUUACGCACAGAAUGUUGUUUACCUAAAUGGACGCCAGUGAUUGGUUAAAAUUGCCGAAAUGCAAGAAAUUAAAGACGAAAUAUGUUACAACCUAUAGAAUUUUCUCAAUAAAGCCAAGAGAAAAUGAUGUUUUAUAAACACAUUCUACCAGUAUACGAAGUUUAAAACUUUUUAGUUACCUAGAAAUUAUGUUACAAACUGCCGUUCAAAAGGAAAAGAUCCAAGGUUUUUUAUGUAUAUCAUCAUCAUCAUCAUCAUCAUUUAGCGUCCGCUUUCCAUGCUAGCAUGGGUUGGACGGUUCAACUGAGGUCUGGGAAGCCAGAAGGCUGCACCAGGCCCAGUCUGAUCUAGCAAUGUUUCUACGGCCGGAUGCCCUUCCUAACGCCAACCACUCCGUGAGUGUAGUGGGUGCUUUUUACGUGCCACCGGCAUAGGUGCCAGGUGAGGCUGGCAACGGCCACGAUCAGAUGGUGCUUUUUACGUACCACUGGCACGGGGGCCAGGCGAAGCUGGCAACGGCCACGAUCGGAUGGUGAAAUAUCUUCUAUCAAUUUUUAUAAGAUAUCCACAAAAAAUAUAUAUAUAAAAAUUAUUUUGGACAUUCCGCUGGAAAAAUGGAGCAUGUAAAUUUGGAUGUAUCACUUAAAGACAUUCCGAUACCAUCUAAAAAGGAAUAUUUGAAGGAAGUGAUUAAAAAAACUACAGACUUCAUACAUAGAAUUAGAUGGAAUAGUUACAAUUUUGAUAUACAAUUUUAAAUAGUCGGUUUUUCUGUGCGGGUGUACUUGUAAACACUAACAUCUAUUUUUAUUUAUAUCAAACCCGUGUACAGCAAACUUAAAUAUAAGUGAUUUAUAGAUUAUUAAAAACCGUAUUCCCCUUUUUCCCUAUCUUUGGUUAAUCUGUCAUCCUACCACCUAGUAUUAGUAAUAUCAAAUCAAAUUUGGUUUUUAGGCAUCUACUAUUUCACUUAGCUUAAUAAACUACCUAUAAAUUCAAUACCUAUUAGAACUCCCCCACCCACCCCAUUUGGUUUACCCUAUAAACCCCCUUUCCGUUAUAUUUUGUCCAUUACCCUACCUAUAUAGGUGUGUUUUUUCUGUAUCCAUAUCCAUAUGCCUGCAUGUACUUUUUCAUAUAUGUGCAUGCAUGUGUUUAUGUUUAUCUAUAUGCAUGCAUCAUGUGCUCUGAUAUACAUGUGUUCAUAUGCAUGUUUAUUUACUUUCUGCACAUAUAUGCUCAAUUAAAAUAUGUAUGAGCCACUAUAUACUUGAUAUUUCCUAUCCUAUUCUCUUCAAACCUCUCAACUGCAUUCAAAUAUGCACCUACAUACCCUAAUCAAUAAGUAAGCCCCACUGGUCAAGCAUUACAACAGCUUUUUUCAAAUUUUAUCCAUCCUGGAUCAUGACAACAUAUGUAUCUCUCACUAAACCAAUGAGAAUCAUUCAUAAAGUUUAUUUUAUUUUUUUAUUUUUUUAUUUUUCUAUUUAUUUAUCUGUUUACUAAUUAUAAUAUUUUGUAUUUGUAUAUAGUAAGUAUAUCUACAAAUAUUGAAAACCUACCAAUCAAAUAGAAUCUCUAAACAUAGCUUUUAUCUUUAACCUGCUAACUCUACACACUUCACCUCAAAAGAUAUAAUGAUCACCUAAGUGGCGUUAGCUCUUUUUGAAUUCUGAAUAAGUCCAAGCAUGAAAUAGUAUGAUUGUGGCAAUUUCCUAGACAUUAAACAUGUUUUGGAGAUUUCCAUCUACUUAUUGGUUUGACAGAAAUGUACAUGUAGGUCUUCUUACAUUUUUCUUACCUUUUUUGAGCUUUCAACUUCCAAUUUAUUUGUAAUGCUUUUUUUUAAAAAUAAAAUGUCAUCUUUCUACUACAUACAAAUAAAUCAGUAAUUAUAUCCAUUUAUUCUCCAUUUUCUUCUUAUUUUGCCCUCAAUAUUAAAAAAAAUUUCAAUAAUAGGCGUAGGAGUGGAUGUGUGGUAAGUAGCUUGUUUACCAACCACAUGGUUCCGGGUUCAGUCCCACUGCGUGGCACCUUGGGCAAGUGUCUUCUACUAUAGCCUCGAGCCGACCAAAACCUUGUGAGUGGAUUUGGUAGACGGAAACUGAAAGAAGCCCGUCGUAUAUAUGUAUAUAUAUAUGUGUGUAUAUGUUUGUGUGUCUGUGUUUGUCCCCCAACAUCACUUGACAACCGAUGCCGGUGUGUUUACGUCACCGUAACUUAGCGGUUCGGCAAAAGAUACCGAUAGAAUAAGAACUAGGCUUACAAAGAAUAAGUCCUGGGGUUGAUUUGCUCGACUAAAGGCGGUGCUCCAGCAUGGCCACAGUCAAAUGACUGAAACAAGUAAAAGAGAGAAUAAAGAGUAAUCCUAAAAAUAUACAAAUGACUUUACCAUUAUAUAAUAUGGAUUGAACCAGUGGAAUACCUUGGAUUAUAUAAUCUUUAAUGAGGACUUAACCUCCCCAAAUUAACUAUAUAUAUAUAUAUAUAUAUAUAUAUAUAUAAUCUUCAUCAUUUAGCAUCUACUUUCCAUGUUGGUACUGGUACGCCAAAGAGCUGCAACAGUCUAAUUUUAGUUCCACUCUGAUUGUUGCUUGGUUUCUGUGGCUGAAUGCCCUUCCUGAGGCCAACCAGUCCAAGAGUGUAGUGGGUCCCUUUUACAUGUCUCUGGCACUGGCUACAACUACGGUUUCACUUGGCUUGAUGAAUCUUCUCAAGCACAACAAAUUGCCAAAGGUCAUGAUCACUUGUCAUUGCCUCCAUGAGACCCAACAUUCAAAGAUCAUGCUUCACCACCUCGUUCCAUGUCCUCCUAGGUCUCCCUCUUCCACAGUUAGAGAUCAGCACUUUUUUAUGCAGCUGUCCUCAUUCGUAUGCAUCACAUGACCAUACCAGCACAGUCCCCUCUCUUGCACACCAUGCCUCUUAUGCCCAGUUUUUCUCUCAAGAUGCUUAUACUCUGUUGUACAUGCAUAAUGACUACUAGUUUCAUUUUUUUCAAGUUUAUGCAUGUCCUCUGCAGCCACAGUUCAUAUUUCACUGUCGUGUGGCAUGGCUGUUUGCACACAGGUAUCAUAUGGUUUGCCUUUCACUUUGAUAGAGAAGCCCUUAGUUACCAACAAAGGUGGAAGGUCUCUGAACUUUGCCCAGCCUAUUCUUAUUCUAGCAGCUACGCUCUCAGAGCAUCCAUCUCCACUGCUUAUUUGGUCACCUAGUUAAUGAAAGCUAUCAAUUAUAUCUCCUCCAACAUUUGAUAGAGCCUAUUUUCUGUACAUUUCUAGUGUUUAUUGUACUUGUGUAUCUGCCAUACAGAAGGACUUUUCCCUGUUAACCUUUUUCUGAUAUUGCUGGGUACACCUUAUGGAGUUUCUACCAACCCCUUUUCUACAUAUCGAGCAGGGCCAUCUACAUGAAGGGAUUUGUGAUUUGUCUGCUUUCCUACUUACUAAGACUUUUAUUUUUGCUAAAUUAACUCAAAGCUCCUUUGAUUCCAGACCUUAUUUUCACACCUGAAAUCUUUUCUCCAGUUCUAGUAGUGAUUCAGCUUUAAGAAGGUCAUCAACAUAGAGAAGCUCCCAGGGGCAGCCUGAUUUAAUUUCCUGGAGGACUAUGAUAAACAAGAGGGAGCUGAGGACUGAUUCUUGGUGAACUCCUACUUGUACAUGGAAUUCAUCACUAUACUUGUUGCCAACCCUCACCUUACUGAUAGCGUCCCUGUACAUGACUUGUACAGCUCUCAGCAUCACUCCUCUGUCUCUAGCUUCCACAUUGACCACCAGAUAAGGGAGUGGGGGACCCUGUCGAUGAUUUUCUCCAUGUCAACAAGAGCCACAUACAGAGGUUUAUUUUUGGCAAGGUACUUCUCCUGCAGCUGACUUACUAGAUAUAUAGCAUCAGUGGUGCUUCUCCUGGCACGAAACCAAACUGCAUCUCAUCUAACCUAACUCUUUUCCUAAUUAGUUGAGUUAUGACCCUCUCCGUAACUUUCAUCACCUGAUCCAACAAUUUGAUAUCUCUGUAAUUAUUUCUGUCUAAGGCAUCAGCUUUAUUUUUGUAGCAGUUGACUAUACUGAGUAAUUAAACCAUAACCCACACUGCCAGAUAUUUUAAGCAUUUCACUGGUGAUUCCUGAUGGGAUAGAGGCUUUCCCUGUCUUCUUGGCUUUAUCUACGAAGCUACUGUUGAUUUAGAUAGCUGGUCCCUCUGUUGGGACCUUCAGCAGACUCUCCUCUCAUGAGUUCUCUUCAUUUAGCAACCUUUCAUAGUGGUACUUCCAAGCCUCUUUCUUUGUAGAAUCACUAACUGAAUGCCAAAACACUUCAAGCCACUGGUUCUCAUGCCACAAAUUUGAUCUUUGACUUAGUAAGUUGUCUCAUAGGAACUUCCAGUUAUCCUCUAUGUUACAUGUCUAAUUCUUCCUCCUUCUCAUUAAAUGUUUCAGUUAGGACAUCUCUAAAGCUCUGACUUAAGCUUCCAGGUCCUUCUUUUCCAAACUGGCUUGCUUUCUGGAAUCCUUCUUGCCUGUAGUCUGAAAUAACUAAUGACUAAUCUGUGGUGAGGGGUACAUUCUUUAUCAGGGAAGGUCUUUGCAUUUAUGAGUAAUCAUGAAUCACACUUUCUGGUGAGAAUGUAGUCACUAUUCAGUAUGUCAAAAUUCAUGUAAAAUAUAAUUAAAAUACUAUGAUAAAAUUGUGUUUCAAAACAAAACAUUUAGAGCAGCCAUUAUUUUCAGAACAAACUAAUAUGUAUUAAAAUCGAUCAGAUAAAUGAAAUGAGAGGAUAAAUUUUUCUCCCAUUUGUUGACAGCUGUUUCAUAAUUUUUAUUAGUUACAUAAGUGAUGCUACAUCAACCAUCACACAUAUAUAAAUAUACAUAUAAAUAUAUAAACACCCAUAAAGAAUUAUUUCACAUUCUCUCGAAGUAUAGGAAUUAUUGUGAUAUCAACAAUAUAUAUAUAUAUAUAUAUAUAUAUAUAUUUUUUUUUUUUUAUUUUAUAGAAGGAGCUUCUACAGGACUAGAACUGUUUCAUUCAAAUGAAAUCAUCAGGAAGCUUUGUGUCAAGAAUAGUUUUGGCAUUUAUACAUUUAGGCAGAUUUAAAGGGGUGGUGGUGGGGGACUUUUUGGGGGUAAGCAUGGCGCAAACUGUCUUUCUUAGGGGAGUGGUCAAAAGAAUCAGUGAUAAAGUAGAUAAAUGAAUAAAUAGAAUAAUAGAAUAGAGUUUUAGGUAAAUAAGAAGACUAUAUGCAAGCACACGCACACACAUAUCUACACACAUAUAUAUAAAAAAAGAAUAUACACACCCAUACACACACACACUCAUAUAUAUACAUACACAUACACAUAUAUAUACAUAUGUGUAUACAUGCACACAUAUACACACACAUUUCCUCCCUUAUUUUAUUUUUAUCUUUAUUUUUAUUUUGACCUCGACCUACCCACCCGCGGACAAACAUUUAGGUAGACCCUCCCGAGGGAGCAAGCCGGCCUAAAAGAAAACCCGUUUAUUGCCUUCCUUUCUAUCUCUCUUCCCACGGAUACGAACACAAACACUCACACACACACACACACUCCACACACACACACACACACACUCACACGCACACUCAUACACAUACACAUACACAAACGCGCAUGUUCUAUGUAUACACAUACAUAUACACACACAAGUACUCAUGCUCAUACAUUCAUAAGUGUACCCACUUUCACAUAAACGUACACAUAACUAUGUACACACAAAACCACAUAUAUAAAUGUACUUCAGUACACAUAAACACACAUGAACAUCUGCCCGCAGAUGGACCAGAGCCAUACGGAGCCCCGCAAAUGUCCAUCAGGUAAAGAAAAUGAUCGCACAUGCACUAGGAGCUAGUAUAAGAGUUACCCUAAAAGGCCACACAUUUAAAUUUAAUAAUAAAAUAUAUGCCCAGGACGAGGGGGCAGCCAUCGGUGUUAGUAUCGCUGGUGAUGUGGCCAACCUCUUCAUGGUAUGGUGGGACAGAAGGCUUAAAGAAUGCCUACUGCAGAAA
rnacentral:lncRNA from 1 species